CCUACGGGCGACAGCAGUAGGGAAUCUUUCACAAUGGGCGAAAGCCUGAUGGAGCAACGCCGCGUGCAGGAUGAAGGCCUUCGGGUUGUAAACUGCUUUUAUAAGCGAGAAAUAUGAUGGUAACUUAUGAAUAAGGAUCGGCUAACUACGUGCCAGCAGCCGCGGUCAUACGUAGGAUCCGAGCAUUAUCCGGAGUGACUGGGUGUAAAGAGUUGCGUAGGUGGCAUAAUAAGUAGCUAGUGAAAUCUGGUGGCUCAACCAUUCAGACUAUUAGCUAAACUGUUAAGCUCGAGACCGUUAGGGGUAACUGGAAUUUCUAGUGUAGGAGUGAAAUCCGUAGAUAUUAGAAGGAACACCAAUAGCGUAGGCAGGUUGCUGGGACGGUUCUGACACUAAGGCACGAAAGCGUAGGGAGCAAACGGGAUUAGAUACCCGUGUAGUC
rnacentral:rRNA from 1 species